UAAUAGGGAACUCAUCUAUAAAAACAAACACUUGUUAUACUUUUAUGAAUUAUCAAGUUGUACAACACACAGCAAUAAGGAUUUAGACAAACAAUCACAGAUUUUAUUAAUUUUAUUGUUGUGUCUAAUAUAUAUAGAAACAACUUGUGUUGUAAAAGAAAGGAUGACAGCAUAUCUCUUUAUCACGUGCCAGUAUUGGCCCUGACUGCACGUGAGAACAUUUGAAUUAUCUGGCACGAGGCCUCACACGUCAUACUUCAACUGACACAACGGUCUCGAUGGGUAAGAUUUCGUUACCAUAUACAGUAAAUAUUGGUUCAAGAGGGCAGUUUGAUAACUCAGUCGAGGUUUGUAAAUGGGGUUUCUGUUCCUGCAGUCUUUCAGGGGUGCUGGCGCGUAUGACGAUGCGGACAUGAACAGCAUACUACAGUAUACCGCCACCUACUGUACUGUAGUACAAUAACGUGUAGGAUUGAAUACUGUGCCAAACGCAGUAAAAAAAAAAAAGCCAUUUAAUUCAUUGUAAAAACAAUGGACAUGCCAGUUCAAGUAACUUGUGGGCUAAAUCACCAAAAUAAGUUUGUAGAUGUGGUUCAAUUAUUUUUAAUGUGCAGCAUAAUGAAUCAGCCUGAAUGCAUGUAGCCUGUGAACAUAUUGUUUAGACUUUAUUUUUAAACCUUUAUCUGGUGUAUGGUUAAACCUUAUGAUGGUAGCAAUUGAAUACAAAUCUUAAACUGAAUCAAAUCUCUUAUAAUAAUACAUAAAAUCUCUGGGACGGUUGGGGGUACAUCAGGGUAACAUUUAAGCAGCUUAAUUUUUUUAAUUCUUUUAUAUAUUUUGAUGUGUAUAUAUAUAUAUUUACUUUCUUUAUUUUGUUUUCUCAGCUUUUAAACAUCUAAACAUGUCCUCCAAAAAGGUUUCCUGUGCUGUUUUGCUCCAUUUUACUGAACAAAAUAAGGCUGAGGUAGCACCAUCCUUGUGGUUAGAGUGAAAGAAUGUGGGUAUUGAGACCAAAAUAAACAAUGUGCCAUUCUGGACAAACAGCUGUGGACAAUAUGCAGUCAGAGUAGCCCAUUUUCUCACACAGACCUGAGGAUAAGAUUUCCAGUUUGAAAGUGAAGAAAAUGAAUCAUUAUUAACAGCAAAUAGGAGUAUUUCUCAGCUGAAAAGCCAGGUGAAACUAUAAGGUCACUAUGAUUCACUUUCAUAUUAUCAUUCUUUUCAGAUUUUUUUCCCUGUGUUUUUUUUGUUAGAUGAGGAGCAACCAGUAAGAAAAAGCAAAAAGAUGUUUUGAUGUUGCCUGAGGCACCUUAUUUUCCAUUUCAUGCACAAUCACAAAUGCAGCACAUCAAUCAAUUUCUUCCAACCAGCGAAUCAAGAAAUCUUGGAGUGGAGAAUCAUUUUGAAAGUAGACCAAAUCCAGGACAACAUCACAACAGUGGUCGGAAAAAUGCAGCAAGCCAAGCUGACUUUCAAAAGAUGAUUCGUUAUCUGUUUCUUCAGAGGGGAGGCAGUUUGGGAGAUGGGAAUUAGGAGGAUGCUACAGUUACACAGGGCAAAUUUCAGCAGCUCAGUUUCAAACUUGCAACUAACAUUGAGUUAAACUGGUCAGGGUGGAAGACCAGCUGACGUACCAGUUUUGCCAGGUUAAAGGACCAGCUUAAACCAGCUAAGACAGCCAACCAACUUAGCCAAGGUGGUAUAUGCUGGUGGGUCAGCUGGUCUUCCCGCCUGACCAGCUACAAAGUGUCCAAAACCUCUGUAAAACAAUCCUGCUACACCAGCCUGACCAGCUGAAACCAUACUGAGUUAGAAGACCACGGAAAUAUUUGACAUCGGAGUCCAGCAGACAGCCAGAGACACGCACACACACGCA